rnacentral:rRNA from 1 species
CAGCAGCCACGGUAACACGGAGGGUGCAAGCGUUAAUCGGAAUUACUGGGCGUAAAGCGCACGCAGGCGGUCUGUCAAGUCAGAUGUGAAAUCCCCGGGCUUAACCUGGGAACUGCAUUUGAAACUGGCAGGCUAGAGUCUUGUAGAGGGGGGUAGAAUUCCAGGUGUAGCGGUGAAAUGCGUAGAGAUCUGGAGGAAUACCGGUGGCGAAGGCGGCCCCCUGGACAAAGACUGACGCUCAGGUGCGAAAGCGUGGGGAGCAAACAGGAUUAGAUACCCCUGUAGUCCCUGUCUCUUAUAC